GAACGCACAUUGCGCCCACUGGUAUUCCAUUGGGCAUACCUGUUUUAGUGUCAGAAUCCUUCCAAUUAUCACACUUUUAUAUAUCUAUAUAUGUAAAGAUGUUUGGACUUUUAUUGAGAAGAGUAGUAUUAUUAUAAUAUUACUUUCUUAAAAACCAGAAAUAUUUUGUUUUGGUUUUCUUCCAACUCAUUUUGUAUUUAAUAUAACAAAUGAGUGUGAAUGUUAACAAACAAACAAUAAUAAUACCUUUGGAUGACCUCAAAGCAGGUAGGACUACCCGCUGAACUGA
rnacentral:misc_RNA from 1 species